rnacentral:rRNA from 1 species
UACGUAGGGUGCGAGCGUUAAUCGGAAUUACUGGGCGUAAAGCGUGCGCAGGCGGUUGUGCAAGACAGAUGUGAAAUCCCCGGGCUCAACCUGGGAACUGCGCUUGUGACUGGUGGGCUGGAGUGUGUCAGAGGGAGGUGGAAUUCCACGUGUAGCAGUGAAAUGCGUAGAGAUGUGGAGGAACACCGAUGGCGAAGGCAGCCUCCUGGGACAACACUGACGCUCAUGCACGAAAGCGUGGGGAGCAAACAGG